AUUGAACGCUGGCGGCAUGCCUUACACAUGCAAGUCGAACGGUAACGGGCCUUCGGGUGCCGACGAGUGGCGAACGGGUGAGUAAUGUAUCGGAACGUACCUUUCAGUGGGGGAUAACGUAGCGAAAGUUACGCUAAUACCGCAUAUUCUGUGAGCAGGAAAGCAGGGGAUCGCAAGACCUUGCGCUGAUUGAGCGGCCGAUAUCAGAUUAGCUAGUUGGUGAGGUAAAGGCUCACCAAGGCGACGAUCUGUAGCGGGUCUGAGAGGAUGAUCCGCCACACUGGAACUGAGACACGGUCCAGACUCCUACGGGAGGCAGCAGUGGGGAAUUUUGGACAAUGGACGAAAGUCUGAUCCAGCAAUGCCGCGUGCAGGACGAAGGCCUUCGGGUUGUAAACUGCUUUGUACAGAACGAAAAGUCUUUAAUAACACUAGAGGCUCAUGACGGUACUGUAAGAAUAAGCACCGGCUAACUACGUGCCAGCAGCCG
rnacentral:rRNA from 1 species